rnacentral:rRNA from 1 species
GAUGAACGCUGGCGGCGUGCCUAAUACAUGCAAGUCGAGCGAACAGAUAAGGAGCUUGCUCCUUUGAAGUUAGCGGCGGACGGGUGAGUAACACGUGGGUAACCUACCUAUAAGACUGGGAUAACUUCGGGAAACCGGAGCUAAUACCGGAUAACAUUUAGAACCGCAUGGCUCUAAAGUGAAAGAUGGUUUUGCUAUCACUUAUAGAUGGACCCGCGCCGUAUUAGCUAGUUGGUAAGGUAACGGCUUACCAAGGCGACGAUACGUAGCCGACCUGAGAGGGUGAUCGGCCACACUGGAACUGAGACACGGUCCAGACUCCUACGGGAGGCAGCAGUAGGGAAUCUUCCGCAAUGGGCGAAAGCCUGACGGAGCAACGCCGCGUGAGUGAUGAAGGGUUUCGGCUCGUAAGACUCUGUUAUUAGGGAAGAACAAAUGUGUAAGUAACUGUGCACAUCUUGACGGUACCUAAUCAGAAAGCCACGGCUAACUACGUGCCAGCAGCCGCGGUAAUACGUAGGUGGCAAGCGUUAUCCGGAAUUAUUGGGCGUAAAGCGCGCGUAGGCGGUUUCUUAAGUCUGAUGUGAAAGCCCACGGCUCAACCGUGGAGGGUCAUUGGAAACUGGGAAACUUGAGUGCAGAAGAGGAAAGUGGAAUUCCAUGUGUAGCGGUGAAAUGCGCAGAGAUAUGGAGGAACACCAGUGGCGAAGGCGACUUUCUGGUCUGUAACUGACGCUGAUGUGCGAAAGCGUGGGGAUCAAACAGGAUUAGAUACCCUGGUAGUCCACGCCGUAAACGAUGAGUGCUAAGUGUUAGGGGGUUUCCGCCCCUUAGUGCUGCAGCUAACGCAUUAAGCACUCCGCCUGGGGAGUACGACCGCAAGGUUGAAACUCAAAGGAAUUGACGGGGACCCGCACAAGCGGUGGAGCAUGUGGUUUAAUUCGAAGCAACGCGAAGAACCUUACCAAAUCUUGACAUCCUUUGAAAACUCUAGAGAUAGAGCCUUCCCCUUCGGGGGACAAAGUGACAGGUGGUGCAUGGUUGUCGUCAGCUCGUGUCGUGAGAUGUUGGGUUAAGUCCCGCAACGAGCGCAACCCUUAAGCUUAGUUGCCAUCAUUAAGUUGGGCACUCUAGGUUGACUGCCGGUGACAAACCGGAGGAAGGUGGGGAUGACGUCAAAUCAUCAUGCCCCUUAUGAUUUGGGCUACACACGUGCUACAAUGGACAAUACAAAGGGCAGCUAAACCGCGAGGUCAUGCAAAUCCCAUAAAGUUGUUCUCAGUUCGGAUUGUAGUCUGCAACUCGACUACAUGAAGCUGGAAUCGCUAGUAAUCGUAGAUCAGCAUGCUACGGUGAAUACGUUCCCGGGUCU